rnacentral:tRNA from 1 species
CGGGGUGUAGCUCAGUGGUAGAGUGCAUGCUUAGCAUGCAUGAGGUCCUGGGUUCAAUCCCCAGUUCCUCCA